CCUACGGGUGGCUGCAGUGAGGAAUAUUGGUCAAUGGCCGCAGGGCUGAACCAGCCAAGUCGCGUGAGGGAUGACGGUCCUAUGGAUUGUAAACCUCUUUUGUCAGGGAGCAAAGGGCGCCACGUGUCGCCUUUUGCGUGUACCUGAAGAAAAAGCAUCGGCUAACUCCUUGCCAGCAGCCGCGGUAAUACGGAGGAUGCGAGCGUUAUCCGGAUUUAUUUGGUUUAAAGGGUGCGCAGGCGGCAUGUCAAGUCAGCGGUAAAAGUUCGGGGCUCAACCCCGUCGUGCCGUUGAAACUGGCGUUCUUGAGUGAGCGAGAAGUAUGCGGAAGGCGUGGUGUAGCGGUGAAAUGCAUAGAUAUCACGCAGAACUCCGAGUGCGAAGGCAGCAUGCCGGCGCUCAACUGACGCUGAGGCACGAAAGCGUGGGUAUCGAACAGGAUUAGAUACCCUAGUAGUC
rnacentral:rRNA from 1 species